rnacentral:precursor_RNA from 15 species
ACAAUUGUCACUAUCCUUUCUAGCAGCCUCCAUUGUACAAGGUAUUCCAUUUUGUGGUUUCCAUUCAAAGGAAUAUCCUGUAUAAUGGAGGCUGUUGGCAAACAUCUCUUCAGCCCAAC